rnacentral:rRNA from 1 species
GCGGCAGGCCUAACACAUGCAAGUCGAGCGGUAACAUUUCUAGCUUGCUAGAAGAUGACGAGCGGCGGACGGGUGAGUAAUACUUGGGGAUCUGCCUGAUGGCGGGGGACAACCACUGGAAACGGUGGCUAAUACCGCAUAAUGCCUACGGGCCAAAGUGUGGGACCUUCGGGCCACAUGCCAUCAGAUGAACCCAAGCGAGAUUAGCUAGUUGGUGAGGUAAUGGCUCACCAAGGCGACGAUCUCUAGCUGUUCUGAGAGGAUGAUCAGCCACACUGGGACUGAGACACGGCCCAGACUCCUACGGGAGGCAGCAGUGGGGAAUAUUGGACAAUGGGCGCAAGCCUGAUCCAGCCAUGCCGCGUGUGUGAAGAAGGCCUUCGGGUUGUAAAGCACUUUCAGUGGUGAGGAAGGCGUUGUAGUUAAUAGCUGCAACGAUUGACGUUAGCCACAGAAGAAGCACCGGCUAACUCCGUGCCAGCAGCCGCGGUAAUACGGAGGGUGCGAGCGUUAAUCGGAAUUACUGGGCGUAAAGCGCACGUAGGCGGCUUGUUAAGCAAGAUGUGAAAGCCCAGGGCUCAACCUUGGAAUUGCAUUUUGAACUGGCAAGCUAGAGUUUUGAAGAGGGUGGUAGAAUUUCCAGUGUAGCGGUGAAAUGCGUAGAUAUUGGAAGGAAUACCAGUGGCGAAGGCGGCCACCUGGUCAAAAACUGACGCUGAGGAGCGAAAGCGUGGGGAGCAAACAGGAUUAGAUACCCUGGUAGUCCACGCCGUAAACGAUGUCAACUAGUUGUUCGUGUCUUUGAGACGUGAGUAACGCAGCUAACGCACUAAGUUGACCGCCUGGGGAGUACGGCCGCAAGGUUAAAACUCAAAUGAAUUGACGGGGGCCCGCACAAGCGGUGGAGCAUGUGGUUUAAUUCGAUGCAACGCGAAGAACCUUACCAUCCCUUGACAUCCAGAGAAUUUUCUAGAGAUAGAUUAGUGCCUUCGGGAACUCUGAGACAGGUGCUGCAUGGCUGUCGUCAGCUCGUGUUGUGAGAUGUUGGGUUAAGUCCCGCAACGAG